AGAUUACGGCCAAUAUUACUCACAUGGUAUCUAGAGCCUGGGGUUCCUCUUUCUUCUGUCCAGUCGUGCCCGCCCUUUUGCCUAGUCAACAAUAGCCUCUCCCUACUUCAUUCCAGCCUUAUUCCAACCUUAAUAUGUCUCACGAGCCAGAUAACUCCAGCAAUACCAAUGACUCACCACUUCCUGCUCUUACUCCUACCCAAACCUCACUGUACUCCCCUCCUCAUCUACUCUUGUCUCUGGUUCAGUCACCGUACCUAACAUCGCCAACCUCAUCCACAUCCAACUCAACAACUCAAACUAAUCUCGCCUGGAAAAAAAAACUCUUCUCCACCUUCCUGAAAUCUGACGAUCUCUUUGGGUUCGUCGAAGGCAGUCAGCCCUGCCCUGACUCAACCGACCUGAUGUAUGUUGCAUGGUGUAGGACGGACCAAAAUAUACGGUCUUGGUUGUUCUCCACGCUUUCCGAAACGCUGUUGGAGGAAGUUCAUGACCCGGGCACGACACAAGUUUGGGACAAUCUCCAUACCCGUGUUGUCGAGCUGUCAUGUGUCAUGUAUUGAGACGUCAGGGUGGAACUCACCCGCAUCAAGCUGGAGGAUCAUGGAGUUGAAAAGUACUUGCAUCAGUGUAUCUACAAGGCCUGGAGGCCAUGGUGGUGGUUGUUGACAACAACACAAUGGAGGCCGUGGAGGAAAAUCUAAUCGAGGGGGUGGUAGAGGCAGUGGUCGCUUCAAUAACGGUGGUUCUGGUCGUGGUAUUUUCAACAGCAAAGCAUUCCUGGGCAGUUCUACGGCCGUGACAAUGGUGGCCGUGGCUAUCAAACAAAUCAUGGAUGUCAUACAACAAUUGUAUAUGGUUGUGGACAACCGAACCGAUUCCCAUAUUCGGUAAGGUCUUGGAGUAACUUUCUUCCAGUCACUGAUGGGAUACUAGGACAUGCCUCUGCAUAUGUGGUUUGUCAAUUAUGCAAUAUUGCUGGACAUACUAUGCUUUGGUUAUUAUAACCAAAAUCAAUCUCAUGCCUAUCCAAAAUCUCUUGCUACCAUGAGUUUGAAUGAUACACUAUCACCAUAUGCUUAUUUGGACUCCGGUGCUUCUUUCCACAUGGUCCAUGACGAAGGUAUACUUCAAAAUUAUGUCAUUGUGCUUGGGUUGUGAGGGCUCUCGGCCACAUGGAUAGUUCAAUGUGCUCAUCAGCGCCUGACCUUGAGAUGUGGAUCAUCCAAGACACAUUAGCAUGGUGUACUUCUCCUGUUCGAACUGGGUUUGAAACCAAACCUCUCAAAACCUUACUUCAUAUUCUAGUUCCAUAUCUAUUGUUACCACCCAUGGAUCUAUUCUGCCUAUAUAUAACGUAGGUUCCGUGACCAUUCCUUCAACUUCCAUACCUCUACGUUUACAAAAUGUGCUUCAUGUUCCUGGACUUGAUUAUAAUCUUGUAUUUCUUCAUCGAUUAUGUCAAGAAAACAAUUGUCA